GAAAUACUAUCCACCAUUACUGCGAUUUGUUGUCUGAAACCGUGAAUGAAGAUGGCAUCUCCCGCCUGUAUGAAGCUUUUCACGAAGUGCCUUUGAAAUCGGACAGGACUACGUGGUACAUCCUCAACAGAUAUUAUAAAUAUUUGCAGCAGCUUGAAAAUCUCGUGUUGGGUUCUGCAUUCGACUAGGGAACCGGGACCGACACCGAAGAGCUCUUUGUCCUGCUGUGACAUCGAGAGGCCAACAGCAGCCAAUUGAGCCCACCACUGAUCCCAUCUCUUGUGAGACGGCAAAGCAGCUUUGCAUGGGAAGGAGGAGACAGAAGAGGCCGAGCAGCAUGUGCUGGGCUGAACCAGCCACACAGAACCCCAUAGUCUAGGUGGAGAAAGCCAAGCCCCUCCCCAGCCCUGCCGGACAUGCUCCAACUGGAGCACCAGAGUGUAAGGGAGCAGCUCAGCUCACGCUAGGCAGACCGCUGAAAAUGGAGGAUGCACACUGUAGGCUCCAGUCCAGAAACAGCUCAAGCCCCUGACUGCAGAGCUCCGAGGCGCCGAGACCCAGCCGCAUCCCCGGGGGCCUGCAGACAUGCAAGGGAGAUCGGAGACUCUGGGAGUUUCCCACGCCGGGAAUCCAGAGACCCCCAGCCCAUGGCCUAGAGACAUCUCCUAGGAAGUAACCUGGGUGAACUAGCCAUUGUCACCCCCAGGCUGGAUCCC